CUGCUCUUGUCACGACUGCUACCAAGGUUGAGGACCCAAAUGCAACAAGGUGCACCGCGACAAAAGUAACAAUGAUUGAGAAAGGGACUGAACCAAGGCAAGGAUUUAAAUACACAAGACUAACAAGAAACAAGUGGGCAGGGAACAAGGUAGAACGAGAGGCAGGAGAACAUUGGACAAGACAAAAAUCAACCACAAACUAAUAAAAAGACUCAGGACGGCGUGCAAAUGAUCUUCCUGGGAAAUCUCAUCCAGUUCAUCAGUGCAACUUAUUUUGUCAUUGGAAACCACAUGAUAUCGGAACCCGGGACAUUGCUCAGGUGCUGUGGACAGGAGGCCUAUAAUGUGGACCGGCAGUUGUGCUGUGGACGUCUGCGCAGUGAGAAGAUCCUUAAGAAGGAACACAAGGACAGCGUUUGCUGUGGAGACGUCCAGUACAACCCACAGACACAGCGCUGCUGCGGAGAUCCUCCUGAAAUAAAUGAACUCUCAGUUUCCUGUGAGACGGACUGUAAACAGGUUUUGACCCAAGAGCCCACAGGAAACAACAUGAUCCCGGAACCCCGGACAUUGUACAAGUGCUGUGGACAGGAGACCUAUAAUGAGGACCGGCAGUUGUGCUGUGGACGUCUGGGCAGUGAGAAGAUCCUUAUGAAGGAACACAAGGACAGCAUUUGCUGUGGAGACGUCCAGUACAACCCACAGACACAGCGCUGCUGCGGAGAUCCUCCUGAAAUAAAUGACCUCUCAAUUUCCUGUGAGACGGACUGUAAACAGGUUUUGACCCAAGAGCCUACAGCAAACAACAGGAUGUCGGGACCCCGGACAUUGUCCAAGUGCUGUGGACAGGAGGCCUAUAAUGUGGACCGGCAGUUGUGCUGUGGAAGUCUGCGCAAUGUGACGAUCCUUAUAAAGGAACAGAAGGGCAGCAUUUGCUGUGGAGACGUCCAGUACAACCCAGAGAAACAGGGCUGCUGUGGAGAUCCUCCUAAAAUAAAGGAACCCUCAGUUCCCUAUGAAACAGACUCAGAACAGGGUUUGACCCAAGAGCCCACAGUAAACAACAUGAUCCCGACACCCGGGACAUUGUCGAAGUGCUGUGGACUGGGUGAGUAUCGAUCAUCUGUUACAAAACACAGUAGAUGUUAUCUAGUUUGUGGUCUGAAUCCAGUCCGGUCCUUCGUAUCGGGUGUGGUGUGUGGAGCGGGGUGAUGCUGGCCCCGAGAUGCUGUCCACCCGUGAUUGGCUCAUUUAAGUAUUUUCUGGAGAAAAAACGUUUACACAUACGUUUUUCUGCUGUAUGUUGUGCAUGGCCUAUAUUUAUACAAUUUGGGGUUUUGCUAUUUUGGCUUUUUCGGUGGGCAGGCUUUUGAGCGAGUAUGGAGAGGUAAGGGUUUAGGAUCAGGUCGCAAGUCGCAAAACUUUCCUAUUUGACCUUAAAUUGCAUUUAUAAAAAAGAAAUAUCAUGAUUUAACCCUACACAAUUUGUGACCCUCUGAAGCACCUCCAUGAACCCCAGGUUAAAGACCACUGAUCUAGAAUAUAAGAGUGCAUACAGUAAUUGUGUUUUCUACAGAGGCCUAUAAUGUGUACCGGCAGUUGUGCUGUGGAAGUCUGAGCAGUCAGAAGAUCCUUAUGAAGGAACACAAGGACAGCGUCUGCUGUGGAGACGUCCAGUACAACCCACAGAAACAGUGCUGUUGCGGGGAUCCUCCUAAAAUAAAUGAACUCUCAGUUUCCUAUGAGACCCAAGGGCCCACAGCAAACCACAUGGUGUCGGAACCCGGAACAUUGUCUAAGUACUGUGGACAGGAGGCCUAUAAUGAGGACCGGCAGUUGUGCUGUGGAAGUCUGCACAAUGCGAAGAUCCUUAUGAAGGAACAGAAGGAAAGCCUUUGCUGUGGAGACGUCCAGUACAACCCAGAGACACAGGGCUGCUGUGGAGAUCCUCCUGAAAUAAAAGACCUCUUAGAUUAACUGUGAGACGGACUGAAAACAGGGUUCGACCCGUCUCCUUCAACCCACUGCUCUUUUGAACAUAGCACCUUUUCAAUCAAGGAAAAAAAUAUUUGCUUUGACUAGCACUAUCUAACUGUUUGUAAUUGUGUCAAACUUGAAGAUCCUUUAUUUCCUUGAAAAAGAUUGCUUAUUUUGUCUUAUCUAAGUUGUUAAUUUUCUCUGCAAACGGGAAAUAUUUUUGAAUGUAGAACAGUGCAAAUGUAGAAGCGAAUAUGCCCAAAUAUACCUGCCCCUUUACAUUUGUCCAUGUUAUGAUUAUUACUUUUAUCCUGCAAGUUUAGCUCAGGAACAAUACUAUACAAUGGUGUAUUCCCUUUUUGCUAGUUAAAGCACAAUGAAAUGGUUAAUUCUAGGGAUGGGCGUGAGGAAUCGAUUACACGAGUACUCGUUACUCGGGACAAGCAAACUCGAGUUUGCAUACACACACAGACAACUUUUCUGAAGCAAAUGCAGUGUUUCCCCUACCAUUGUUCAGGCCUGGCGGGCCGCCAGGCCAACGAGCGCCCCCGCCAGGCCAACAACAGGCCAAAAAAAAAAAAUAAUAAUAAUAAUAAUGAAAAGAAAAGAAAAAAAAAGUGUCGCGCGUGCGCAGAUUAUGCCCCAUCAUAACGGACAAUCUGACAGCAUUAAGUUAUAUCAUCAUUAGCAUGGCACUGUCACACUAAAUUUGUACCGGCUGCCAAAUACGUAAUCCAUUCCAAACCUGCCCGGCAACAGAUGAUCAGAACCUUUUCGAAUGACGUGAAAGGUUCACGAACAUUCGCGAACCUUCUAUCUAGCGAUCCGUUAUCUGUAUUGUGCUAUUUCGUCCUUGACCUGCUAUAAACACUCAGUUUACUUGCUAAAUUUGAUUAAACAAUGAAAUACAAUACAAAUAUAAAGUAAAAACAAGUGUUAUCUAGCGAUCCGUUUUCUGUAUUAUGUUAUUUCGUCUUUGGCAACAUGAGCGCAAAUGUUUUUUGAAACCCGCUUUAAACACUCAGUUUACUAGCUAAAUUUGAUUAAAAAAUGAAAU
ensembl:lncRNA